CAUUAUAAUUGUCCCUGCUUUUCUGAGUUUGUGGAAAGUUAAAUCAGAGUCUUCAGACGAACAAAUGCUGGAGCACAAACAGAAAGUAAUGAGAGUCAGCAACUGUGCACAGAAAUGACUCUGUCUGUGCUUUUGUGUGUAUUUGUGUCUUCAGAUGGAAAAUAAGUGCCUCAAAGUAAGAGAGAUGGAAAGUUCAUUUCACAUUUUGACAUUUUCACAUGACAGAAUAUAUGUGUUUAUGUAGUUCAUGUUUAAUGACAAAACCCCCUAAAAUUAAUAAGGUCAUUUAAUAUCGUGUAUCAUUUUGGCCAGACAUAUUGAUAUCCAUUUGGAAGAACCCUGGAUCAAAUUAUACAACACAGAAACAGCCAUGUAAGGGCAGGCUUUAGAAAACAAAAGUGACUCCAGUUUUAAGUAUUUUUAAAGCUGGAGAGUGAAAAGUUGAAAGAAAUCCAAAAGAAAUUUGAACUCAAAAAAUAUUAAAUUUUUUAAAUGUGAAUACAUCCUUUAUGGGUCUUCGAAGGAACUAGUGAAAAUGGCUUACCUAACUUUGAGAUUCUUGUUGCUGUACUUCAUUCUAAAAGGUGGGUUAACAAUCUUAUAUUAAACAUUUUUGUUUUAUAUACACUAUACAGAUUAAAUGCUCACUUAUUGCUUUAUUUGAACAAAAUUUACCUUCUCUGCACUCUUUUGUCCUAUAUAUUUAUCUGUACUCAUUCUGUCAUUUUAACCAAUUACUUUUUGACUGAAAUCUCACUGAUUAUGUGGGCUUAUCUAUUCCCCAUUACCCACAGUGACUGCCAUAAAGCUCUGGUCUCCUCCCGGAUGGAUGAUUAAAAUGCCAUGUCAAUAUGAAUAUGAGGCUCAAGGAAGUAUCCAGCAGUUGUCCCUACAGUGGAGAAGCCCCAGGAACCAGCUCCUCUGUCACCUGAUCAAGCACAAAACGUACAGCAACUGCACAGCUGGAUAUUCAGUGCACUACAACCCAGGGAAUAUUACUCUCAUCAUCGCUGAGGUGAGGCAGGAGGACUUUGGGAGGCAUGUGUGUUCUGUGAGCAAGCUUCAUGAAUUCUCAGACUUCAGCAUUGAAUUAUACCAGAAGGAAGAUCUCUCUGCUGAAUUACCAAAAGGCAAGGUAGAUCAGUCAGGUUCUGCAAAGGAUCAUUUCUUCCUUCUUGGGUGCAGUCUUUUUGUAUCCAUGUUUGGGUAAUAGGACAAGAAUAAUGUUCAUCAUUACAAUAAUGAUCACCAGACUAAUGUUUCAUAUUAGAUGCCAUAUAUUCUGAGAUAGCAAUUACCUGGGAUUUAUACAGUCCAAAAAUAAGAAGUCAAUGUUUUAUUAUUGUUAUUUUUUUCAUAACAGUACCACUGGAUGGCAGUAUACUCAUAAAUAUCACUGAAACACAUUUUUUAAGCUACAAGGCCUAAAGUAGCCUACUUUAUAUAUAAAAUAAUAUAUAUAUAUAUAUAUAUAUAUAUAUAUAUAUAUAUAUAUAUAUAUAAAACAACAUAACACAAACACUACAAAAUGCAUUGCAUCAUUCAAAAUAAUGGAAAAAAAACACCUGUGGAAAAUCAAUAUGGAAAAUUCUAUCACAUCAGCAUGGUACAUUGGGCCCUAUUUUAUAGACUUUUCUUGGAAUGUCAUUUAUUUAUUUUAAAAUUAGAAUGGGUAUAAGAUUUAAGUUCUUUCGGACCUAUCAACCAAGUUGCUUUGUGCAUCAUUGUUGUCACUCAUUCAGAAUGCACAGUGUGUUUAUGCAUGUGCAUGUUUAAAUGUGUUAAUAGUGGGGGUGUGUAAUGCCAAAUCAGCAUGUCAAUUAAAUGACAAAAUAAAUACAACAAAACAAAGGUUUUAAAAUACAGAGUGACAUGUUGUGUACCAAGUUAUUUGCCUUUUUGAUGUUUGAUUGAUGCUUCUUUAAUCAGAAUUAAUCUAGGAUGUGAUGAAGUGACACUUCCAGAAUGAACACUGAGCAGCGCUCAUCUUUACAGACACAUUGGCUAGUAUCCAUUAUAGGGAUCUGUGACAUGAGCUUGCAUAAAAGAUUUUCACACAUGUAUGUGUGCCUGAAGGAUUCUGGACUGACAUGUCUGCCUCCUUUUCAAAGACAGUUCAGCCUUAGAGCAUUUAAUGUUCAACUUGCUAUUUUAGUCAAAGUCAUACAACAUAAUAAGGACACUGAUAGCUGGACACAAUGACAGUUGUGUAUAUGUUUAUAUAUUAAGAUGCUGUAACAAUAAAUCAAGUUCUCAUUGUUAUAAUUUAAUUAUGGCUAAUGUAAAUAUAGUAAAUUCUUAGUUAAUAAGUAUUUUGAAUUGUAUAUUAUAUAUUUAAAAAUGUAUAAAGGAGCAAAUGUGCUUGUAUAACAAGAAUGAAGAAGAAGAAAAAAGAUGCACCAGUAGUUGUACAUGUUUAACUGGAAUUAAGCAUGCCAUUUGAGAUACAGUGCUCUAAAGUUAGCUUUUAUUUUAAACUGUCAGCACAGGAUAAUACAUUAGGCUAUGACCUACAAAUUAAGGGUAUGUUUUUUUUAAAACUGUGGUGGUGCCAUGUUACACUGAUGGAAUCAGAUGAUGCCAUACUUUAACAGGCUUACUACUGUGUGGUACUUAAUCUUU
ensembl:lncRNA